UAAAUGUUGUCCUUUAUAAGAGUUGCCUUGGUCAUGAUAUCUCUUCACAGCAAUAGAAACCCUAACUAAGAUGCAAUGGAUAUGAAGAGAGGACCUGGGGGAUAUUAGAAAGGGGUCACUGUCCCCAGAGGCUGACCUCACCUCUCUUCCUGGAGCCCAUGUCUUUAUCCAGAAGCAGUGCUUAGAGAGAGAGUCUGAAAUGUCUCCCCCACACUCACGGACCUAAAGGCUCUGGUGAUGUUUUAAGAGGCCCUGGAACUUUUGGAACACAGGGUCUAGCUGACUGGAAGAGGCCAUUACGGAAAGCCCUAAGAGUUGUAAUCCAGCUUGACUUCCUGGUCCAAGCCAUGUGAGAAACCAACACUGCAAGCUCCCAUCACCUCAGAACCAGCUGCUUCUGUUAGCCAUGUCUUCUCUGCCGUGCUGGACUGUGUCCCUCAAACUGCAAGCCAAACUAAAUUUCUCCUACUUUAAGUUGCUUCUGACAGGUAUUCGGUCACUAAUAUACCUGCACUGAGCAAAUCUCUCCCUCUUUACCUUUCAGAAAACCCUACUCCAUACCCUCAGAAGUAAGACUUGUCUCCCAAUUAUCCUCCUUGCCCAACAAGACAUCUCCCACAGUCUGGACUACCAGUGCCUCUUCCUGCCACUUGGAAUAUCAAGGAUGCCCAAUGCCAGGUAGUGUAUAUUUCAAACUAAACUUGGAAUUACAGCAAUAAUACAUUUUCAUUGGAAAGAUAAAUCAAAACAACAGAGAAUAUACGGUAUGAAAUUUCAGAGAUGCCUUAUCUAUGAAGCUGCCUGCAGCUAUGCAUGAUAGGAACCCUUCUAAGAACAUUUUCUACCUACAUCUCCAGAGGUCGGCAACUGCGGGUUGAUUCAUCAGCCCUAAAAGCUCACUGGCCAAAAUGAAUCUUACUACUUCCAUCUGCGAGGGAAGCUGGAAAGGCUACGACGAGGCAGAAGAGAAUAGGAAUGAGAUUACCACACCUGCUUUGGGCCAGUCCUACUUCAUCCCUGCUGUUCCAAACAAGAUGGCUUCUAACUACUGUGUUGUUCUCCUCUGUGGAAUCAAGAAGAAAUUCUGAUUAUAUUUAGCUAGAGGCUGAUCUAAGGAGAAUCUGCCCCGUUCAGGGCAGUGACAUGUGAAGGAAGGUUUUCUGGGCUGGAGGGCAGAUGUCUACUGAACGCUUGUUUGCUCUUAAGGAUUUCAAACUGGACUUGAAUUCACAGUAAUAAUUUUGUUAUAAGAAUAAAUAAAACAACAGAAAACA